rnacentral:rRNA from 1 species
CUACGGGGGGCUGCAGUGGGGAAUAUUGGACAAUGGGGGAAACCCUGAUCCAGCAAUGCCGCGUGUGUGAAGAAGGCCUGCGGGUUGUAAAGCACUUUCGGUUGGGAGGACUGCUUCUAGCACUAAUAUUGUUGGAAGUUGACGUUACCUUCAGAAGAAGCACCGGCUAACUCCGUGCCAGCAGCCGCGGUAAUACGGAGGGUGCAAGCGUGAAUCGGAAUUACUGGGCGUAAAGCGCGCGUAGGCGGCUAGAUCAGUCGGGUGUGAAAGCCCCGGGCUUAACCUGGGAACUGCAUCCGAUACUGUCUAGCUUGAGUACGGGAGAGGAGAGUGGAAUUCCACGUGUAGCGGUGAAAUGCGUAGAUAUGUGGAGGAACAUCAAUGGCGAAGGCAGCUCUCUGGCCUGAUACUGACGCUGAGGUGCGAAAGCGUGGGGAGCAAACAGGAUUAGAUACCCGUGUAGUC